rnacentral:rRNA from 1 species
AGAGUUUGAUCCUGGCUCAGGACGAACGCUGGCGGCGCGCCUAACACAUGCAAGUCGAACGAGCGAGAGAGAGCUUGCUUUCUCGAGCGAGUGGCGAACGGGUGAGUAACGCGUGAGGAACCUGCCUCAAAGAGGGGGACAACAGUUGGAAACGACUGCUAAUACCGCAUAAGCCCACGGCUCGGCAUCGAGCAGAGGGAAAAGGAGCAAUCCGCUUUGAGAUGGCCUCGCGUCCGAUUAGCUAGUUGGUGAGGUAAUGGCCCACCAAGGCAACGAUCGGUAGCCGGACUGAGAGGUUGAACGGCCACAUUGGGACUGAGACACGGCCCAGACUCCUACGGGAGGCAGCAGUGGGGAAUAUUGCACAAUGGGGGAAACCCUGAUGCAGCGACGCCGCGUGGAGGAAGAAGGUCUUCGGGUUGUAAACUCCUGUUGUUGAGGAAGAUAAUGACGGUACUCAACAAGGAAGUGACGGCUAACUACGUGCCAGCAGCCGCGGUAAAACGUAGGUCACAAGCGUUGUCCGGAAUUACUGGGUGUAAAGGGAGCGCAGGCGGGAAGACAAGUUGGAAGUGAAAUCUAUGGGCUCAACCCAUAAACUGCUUUCAAAACUGUUUUUCUUGAGUAGUGCAGAGGUAGGCGGAAUUCUCGGUGUAGCGGUGGAAUGCGUAGAUAUCGGGAGGAACACCAGUGGCGAAGGCGGCCUACUGGGCACCAACUGACGCUGAGGCUCGAAAGUGUGGGUAGCAAACAGGAUUAGAUACCCUGGUAGUCCACACCGUAAACGAUGAUUACUAGGUGUUGGAGGAUUGACCCCUUCAGUGCCGCAGUUAACACAAUAAGUAAUCCACCUGGGGAGUACGACCGCAAGGUUGAAACUCAAAGGAAUUGACGGGGGCCCGCACAAGCAGUGGAGUAUGUGGUUUAAUUCGACGCAACGCGAAGAACCUUACCAAGUCUUGACAUCCUGCGACGAUGCUGGAAACAGUAUUUUCCUUCGGGACGCAGAGACAGGUGGUGCAUGGUUGUCGUCAGCUCGUGUCGUGAGAUGUUGGGUUAAGUCCCGCAACGAGCGCAACCCUUACUGUCAGUUACUACGCAAGAGGACUCUGGCAGGACUGCCGUUGACAAAACGGAGGAAGGUGGGGAUGACGUCAAAUCAUCAUGCCCUUUAUGACUUGGGCUACACACGUACUACAAUGGCGUUAAACAAAGAGAAGCAAGACCGCGAGGUGGAGCAAAACUCAGAAACAACGUCCCAGUUCGGACUGCAGGCUGCAACUCGCCUGCACGAAGUCGGAAUUGCUAGUAAUCGUGGAUCAGCAUGCCACGGUGAAUACGUUCCCGGGCCUUGCACAAACCGCCCGUCA